rnacentral:rRNA from 1 species
AUCGAGUCGCGACUUCUAGGAGACGCGAUUCUUUGAGAUAAAAGUUAUUACAACUUUCAGCAACGGAUCUCUUGGCUCUCGCAUCGAUGAAGAACGCAGCGAAAAGCGAUAUGUAAUGUGAAUUGCAGAUCUACAGUGAAUCAUCGAAUCUUUGAACGCACCUUGCGCUCCUCGGUGUUCCGAGGAGCAUGCCUGUUUGAGUGUCAGUA